UGGGGAAUAUUGCACAAUGGAGGGAACUCUGAUGCAGCGACGCCGCGUGAACGAAGAAGGCUUUCGAGUCGUAAAGUUCUUUUAUAUGGGAAGAUAAUGACGGUACCAUAAGAAAAAGCCCCGGCUAACUACGUGCCAGCAGCCGCGGUAAUACGUAGGGGGCUAGCGUUGUCCGGUAUCACUGGGCGUAAAGGGUUCGCAGGCGGAAAUGCAAGUCAGGUGUAAAAGGCAGUAGCUUAACUACUGUAAGCAUUUGAAACUGCAUAUCUUGAGAAGAGUAGAGGUAAGUGGAAUUUUUAGUGUAGCGGUGAAAUGCGUAGAUAUUAAAAAGAAUACCGGUGGCGAAGGCGACUUACUGGGCUCAUUCUGACGCUGAGGAACGAAAGCGUGGGUAGCAAACAGG
rnacentral:rRNA from 1 species